UACAGAGGUCCCAAGCGUUGUUCGGAUUCACUGGGCGUAAAGGGUGCGUAGGUGGUCGGGUAAGUCUGAUGUGAAAUCUCCGAGCUUAACUCGGAAACUGCAUCGGAUACUAUUCGGCUCGAGGGUUGGAGGGGGGACUGGAAUGCUUGGUGUAGCAGUGAAAUGCGUAGAUAUCAAGCGGAACACCAGUGGCGAAGGCGAGUCCCUGGACAGCUCCUGACACUGAGGCACGAAAGCUAGGGGAGCAAACAGG
rnacentral:rRNA from 1 species